UCACUAAUAACUUUUGACCAGUUUGUGCUACCUAGCUACUUGUUUCUUUCUUGUCACUAAAAGAAUUUCUUUUCUAAGACCAUGGCCAUUUCAAUUAAGUCAAGACCAUUUGUUCUCCUCCUAAUUCUUAUGGCAUUAUUGCUUAUAGUGAAUUCAGAGGCAAGACAUGUCUCUAAGUUGUCUAUAAUGGGCAAUAAGAUUAAGAAUAAGGUUGUGAAGCGCGAAUUGAUCAACACCAACAAUGUGAAGUCUCACCCAAGAAGGUUAAUGCAAGGAAGAGCAAGAAUACAGAGAAUGUCUCCUGAUGGACCAGACACUCAACAUCACUAGCUACUCAAAUCAAAUUGAGGAAUUAUAUUUGAGCAAAUGUCUUUUUCGAUUUUUAACUUUUUUUAAAAAAAAAAAUAAAACACUUUUUUGUAUAUAAUUUAAAAAAUUUUAAUCAGUCUUUAAUAUUUAAGUAAUUGGUCUAAACGAUACAUGCUGACUUAUUAGGAGUCACUUAUAUCGAUAAUAGAAACUGUUUAGAUCAAUUAUUUGAAUAAUUGAGAACUAAUUAAAAUUUUUUGAAUUGUUAAAAACCCUUUUUUUUUUUUUUGGACAAAUAGUAAAAAACUGAAAAUGGCAUUUACUCGUAUUGUUUAGACAAUUAUCAUCUUUAUUUUAAAAAAGUAUCAAUUUUUUAUGUAUUUAGAUAUAACUACCGAAUCUAAAUACAUAAAACAAGAUUUUUUUUUUUAAAAAUAUAUUACUUUUGUUUUUGAUUAAUUGUCUACUUUAUUCUGUUUGGUAGAAUAGAAAAGUAAUCUUUCAGUUAAUAAUUAGCCAACAAAUAAAUGAGAUGAGAGGAAAAUAUAAUGUUUGGUUGUUGCUGUAGAGAGAAAAACAAAAAUUUUAAAUAGAGAGAGUAAUGUUGGCUCAUUAUUAGAAAAAAAGUAUUAAAUUUCUAACGAAACAGAAUGAAAAAUCAAUGUACUUGGACAAUUAAUUGAAAAUAGAAGGAAUAUAAGAUUUUCUAUUAAGAGAGCAAUUUUAAAGUGGUUUAUUUUCUUUAUCAAUUAUUCUAGUUCAUUUAUAAUGGCUCUCACAAAAAAGUUGUUAAGUCCGAAUAUGAUUUCUCAAUGAAAUAGAUGGUAAUCGGAGAUAUUACUGUUUCCACUUUCCACCCGGCGGAUCAAUCCGAAUAAGCUCAAUAGAAAAUAAUAAUGUGGGUUUUCUCAUGUUGGUAUUUUAAUCUAUUCAAAUAUAUUAAUAAGUUCAAACUUGAAUGCUUUGACAUGUACUUGUUUUUGGUUUGCUGCAAGGGUAAGCUAGCAAACUGAAAUUCAGAGAAAAAUGAAUGGGGGUGAUGUAUGUGAAGCAAUUUUUGCUAAUAAUUUGUCAUCUCAUUUUUAUUUGCACUACUUAAGUUUAUUUCAACUCUUCUUUAAAUUUAUUAUAUUCUCUUGUAUGACGAAUAAUUAUCUAUAAAGAGAGAUGUCC
rnacentral:lncRNA from 1 species